UGGGGAGUCGUCUAGUGGUAGGACAUCAGACUCUGGAUCUGAGUGCGAGGGUUCGAAUCCUUCCUCCCCAGCCA
rnacentral:tRNA from 1 species